rnacentral:rRNA from 2 species
UGGGGAAUAUUGCACAAUGGAGGAAACUCUGAUGCAGCGACGCCGCGUGAACGACGAAGGUCUUCGGAUCGUAAAGUUCUGUCCUUGGGGACGAUAAUGACGGUACCCAAGGAGGAAGCCCCGGCUAACUACGUGCCAGCAGCCGCGGUAAUACGUAGGGGGCGAGCGUUGUCCGGAAUUAUUGGGCGUAAAGGGUUCGUAGGCGGUUAUAUAAGUCAGAUGUUAAAGGCGCAGGCUUAACCUGUGUAAGCAUUUGAAACUGUGUGACUUGAGUUAAGGAGAGGAAAGUGGAAUUCCUAGUGUAGCGGUGAAAUGCGUAGAUAUUAGGAGGAAUACCAGUGGCGAAGGCGACUUUCUGGACUUAUACUGACGCUGAGGAACGAAAGCGUGGGGAGCAAACAGG